UACGGGGGGGGCAAGCGUUGUUCGGAAUUACUGGGCGUAAAGGGCGCGUAGGCGGCCUUCUAAGUCGGACGUGAAAUCCCUCGGCUUAACCGAGGAACUGCGUCCGAUACUGAAAGGCUUGAAUCCGGGAGAGGGAUGUGGAAUUCCCGGUGUAGCGGUGAAAUGCGCAGAUAUCGGGAGGAACACCGGUGGCGAAGGCGGUUCUCUGGGCCUUACCUGACGCUGAGGAGCGAAAGCGUGGGGAGCAAACAGG
rnacentral:rRNA from 1 species